AGGGAUCAUUACAGAGCUGCAAAACUCCCUAAACCAUCGUGAACGCUACCUAAACCGUUGCUUCGGCGGGCGGCGCCCUCGCGCGCCCCCCCUGGGGCCCGCACCGCGGGCGCCCGCCGGAGGUACACCAAACUCUUGAUAUGUUAUGGCCACUCUGAGUCUCCUGUACUGAAUAAGUCAAAACUUUCAACAACGGAUCUCUUGGUUCUGGCAUCGAUGAAGAACGCAGCGAAAUGCGAUAAGUAAUGUGAAUUGCAGAAUUCAGUGAAUCAUCGAAUCUUUGAACGCACAUUGCGCCCGCCAGCAUCCUGGCGGGCAUGCCUGUUCGAGCGUCAUUUCAACCCAUCAAGCCCACGGCUUGUGUUGGGGACCUGCGGCUGCCCGCAGGCCCUGAAAACCAGUGGCGGGCUCGCUAGUCACACCGGGCGUAGUAGCAUACGACCUCGCUCAGGGCGUGCUGCGGGUUCCAGCCGUAAAACGACCUUCACAACCCAAGGUUGACCUCGGAUCAGGUAGGAGGACCCGCUGAACUUAAGCAUAUCAAUAAGCGGAGGAA
rnacentral:rRNA from 1 species